UGCCAAACCUAGGGACACACUGGUGGAU
rnacentral:piRNA from 1 species